AAGUAAGUCAGACACACACACACACACCUUUGUUUUACUAUCCUUGUGGGGACCAAACAAUUUAUGACCAUUCAAAAUCAUAUUCUCCCUAACCUUAAACGUAACCCUAACUCUUAAACCUUAACCCUAAGCCUAAAAUAGCCUUCUUCCUUGUGAGGACCAGUGAAAUGUCUCCACUUUUUCCUUGUUUUACUAUCCUUGUGAGGGUUUCUGGUACCCACAAGGAUGGUAAAACCAAAAAACACACACACAUGGAUACACACUCAUACACAGAUGCAUGCACACACUGGAUGCACACACACACAAACACUCCUAAGGACAGAAAUGCAUACACACUCUCUCACACACACAGAUAGACAUAGAUACACACACGCACAAACACUCACAGUGACACUGCAACAUCCGCUCAAUAAGAACGGCCAAGCACACGUGUUGCCACGGCUUGCUACUGUUGAGCGUGCCGAGUGUGCAGCUCAGAGCAGGCGGGCACACGCUGAGAAAUGAUGAGUGUGGAAGGCUGUCUGGAGGGCUGAUGGCGCCGGCCCAUUCAGAUGGAGCAUCAGCCUGUAUCAGAUGACAGGUGCUGAAUUGAGACACACUGCCGGCGGAGCUGUCCCUCUCCCGGAUGGCCGUGUGCUCAACACACACAUCCUUCAGCCCCAGGCCCCUGGUUAGCAAGCGGCUGCCCAGCUGACAACGCCCUGACACCACCAUCCAUCUGUACAGCUCCAUAGAGGAGAUGAUAAUCAGGAGAUAGCCACCCUUCAUAAAGUCACCGGCUGGAGAGAGAGACUCGGAGACAUAGCGCUAGCCCAUGGGUUCUCUUGUUGUCUCUCUCACCUAUUCCGUUCUCAAUGCCACACAUGGUGGAUGCCACCAUCAGUGAGGUUCUAUAUAUCAGUGCUGUUGAGAUGAGCUGCAGACAAAGAGUGUCUCGGAGGACGAUGUGUAAACAUGGUGUUGAGAUGAACUGCAGACAAGGAGUGUCUCGGAGGACGAUGUGUAAACAUGGUGUUGAGAUGAGCUGCAGACAAGGAGUGUCUCGGAAGACAAUGUGUAAACAUGGUGUUGAGAUGAGCCGCAGACAAGGAGUGUCUCGGAGGACGAUGUGUAAACAUGGUGUUGAGAUGAGCCGCAGACAAGGAGUGUCUCGGAGGACGAUGUGUAAACAUGGUAUUGAGAGCGUCUUUGACAUCUUGUUAAGGUGAUGGAGGAGAUGAGACCACGAUGGCUGACGUUCAGUGAGGUUAGGACGUUAAGCCUUACAGUAAUGAAACCCUUACCCUCUCACAUGUAGCCUUGUGAGUUUUUCUUUUUAAGGCUACUGUGGUAUUAGGUUUAGAUGUAUUUAAACAGAUUCGUACAUAAUUAUGCAGAGACACACAUAGAAUGUGAUGUCAUACAAUAUAUUACUAGACGGUUAUAUUGCGUUACAUGGAGGACGAUGUCUCACGCCCACUUCCUUUUCCCGUAGGGAGUGGUCACGGAUGCCUCUCCUCAGUCAGUGGCCCCCUCGUCGCAUGACGUGAGUGGGCAGCAGCAUCAGAUCCAGGUGGACGGGUCCAGCGACCAUGUUGCUUACUCAUACCAGUCCAAAUAGCGACAGAUGAGGAGAAUAUUCCUGUGACAGUGUUGCCUUGAGACAGGGGGGUUGGCUGUACUGAGAAUGUGGAGAGAAGAGAGAUUGCUUCCAGAUUGCCCAGGCACCAAAAAAGAGACACUUUUUCAUUUCCUACCUGGCCUAAGAGAGUUACACAGAGAGAGAGAAAGAGAGGAGGGAGGGUGGGUUGGGGGGUGAAGUCGCUGGGCACAGUGCAAAGAGUUGAAAAUGUUUAGUCUGGCAACCUGCCUGGUGGGUUGGGCUUCAGCUUGACUUACUCAACUGAAAAAAAUAAAAAAUAAAUAGGCAAAUGUUCAAUGCGCAGGUAGGUAGGUAGGUGAUGAGUUUUAUUUUGUAAUUAGAAAAGGGGAAGUCAAAGUUUGACAUACACAGAGAUUGUCUUCCUUAGAUAUUAAGCUAUGAUUUCUUUUCACUUUUUUUUUCUCUUGUUAAAUUUGAGUUUUCUAGAUUUAUUCGAAAUAAGUGUUUUUCUUUCUUGAAUCUUCAUGGCCUUAAUUUUAAGGGCGUCGGAUGACUUUUUACAGAGAGUAAAGUCUGGCGUCUCGUUGAAAAUAAAAAGCGAUCUAAAUCAGUCUCUUGGACCACUUUGAUGGUACAUGAUACUGCAGGGGUUGAGCUAGAGACAUUAAAACAAAGUCUAUCACAUAAGCUGUACAGAUUUAAUAGACAAGAGUUUCUUUUUCUUUUCUUCGUAAGAAGAAAACUUUGAUAAAUAAUUAUGUCAGAGGUUACUAAAUCUAAGAGAAAAAAGUAAAUGUCUGCUAAGGAAAUGAGUGGGAAAAGAUAAAAGCUUUGAGGAGAUUUUUCACAAUGAGGAGGGGGAAAAAGACACUGCAUUGUAGAAAAUGCAGUCGGUUGCAAAUGCUGAACUUGUUUUUAUUAUCAUAAUUAUUAUUUUACAUGGCAAGAUUGCUGUUGAUGACAUUAGUGCUUUUAUCUGCUACAUUUGACCUUUUUUAUGAGCUUGAUGGUGUUUUUAGCCCGCUUUGCUUGUCACACUAUAAAAAAAAAAAGAACAAAGAAAAGAAAGAAAAAAAAUCUAAAACAAACAUAAAACGGUAGGAAAAAAAAUGUGCGCAGUGAUAAACUUCGUAGAUUGAGUAGGAGCUUACGGUUUAAACCAAUCAGUGCAAAAAGCAAUAGAAGAAAUUGUUGACAAUUUCUGUAGUCUUUCCUAGUUGUGGAUCAAAUGCAGCCCAAGGAUGGCCAUUUUUAUACCAAAGAUGAAGAGACACUCUGAUCCAGAGUUUUGUUGUUUUUCAGUUAGAUUUUGUUGUUGAUGCUGUUGAUGUUAUUGUUGAUAUUGUUGUUGUUGCUGUUGUCAUUGUUGUUUUUAAUUUGACCUUGAUGGCCGGACCAGUCCGUACUUUUCCUUUCAUUACAAUUACACGUUUUGGCUAAAGCUACCUUCCACGGUUUUCGAAACUAUCACACUGACUUCAAACAGUAUUUGAACAUAUGAUGCAACUAGUGGCAGUUCGACCUAAUGUCCCUCUCUGCCACUUAAAUUGUCUUUCCGCCUCUCAUCUGUCGUGUUCCACUCUUGCGCCAACUAUGGGGGCAUUCCACCAGUCAACAGUAAACACUAUAGGAAAUAUUGGGUAAUGUUGCAGCUCGCUCCUCGGUCAUUAAUGCUUCGCUUCUGGCUUUGUUGGCUCCCUGAUCUCUGCCUCGACGCCGUCUCUUCAUCUCAUUGGAUCAAUGACAACUGAACAAAACGGAUACAUUUUCUCCCCUCCCCGGGAGUCUCAUCAACGUUACCCUGCAUUUUUUCCCCCUCUCCAGUCAUCCAGACAACACAUAGCAAAACUCUCCGGCACUCUCUCAUUUGUCUGCAUGGACGUCAAACAUGUCCUGCUAUCCCAGGCACGAUGUACUUAGGAGGACAGGAACUUAAUUCAAGACUAGCAUUGACACGUUAACCUCUGGUGUGCUUCGGUGUUUGAUAUAUCUCUGAACUCCAAACAUACAAAACGAACACAUGGAAGCAUAGUAGUGUUAUCUGCUUUAGCAAACAUUAUCUCUCUUGAAGAUCCAUAUUUAUGGGUUGGAUAAACACUACUGUACUCAGACCUAAGGGGUUAUUUUCCAGACAGAAUAGUGCACUACAAUAAUGUUGACAGUAACCUUUCAGCCAAGCCUAAAAAGCCCGUCUUCUCCGCCUCUAGACUCAGUAGCCUGUAAAGAUCUCUGCCCCACUCCUUUCAGCCUUUCAUCAAACCCCUAUCCAUUGUACACAGUACCCUGUGUCUGGAGCGCUGUGUGUCUCUAUCCCCAUUACAGUACCCUGUGUCUGGAGCGCUGUGUGUCUCUAUCCCCAUUACAGUACCCUGUGUCUGGAGCGCUGUGUAUCUCUAUCCCCAUUACAGUACCCUGUGUCUGGAGCGCUGUGUGUCUCUAUCCCCAUUACAGUACCCUGUGUCUGGAGCGCUGUGUGUCUCUAUCCCCAUUACAGUACCCUGUGUCUGGAGCGCUGUGUGUCUCUAUCCCCAUCACAGUACCCUGUGUCUGGAGCGCUGUGUGUCUCUAUCCCCAUUACAGUACCCUGUGUCUGGAGCGCUGUGUGUCUCUAUCCCCAUUACAGUACCCUGUAUCUGGAGCGCUGUGUGUCUCUAUCCCCAUUACAGUACCCUGUGUCUGGAGCGCUGUGUGUCUCUAUCUCCAUUACAGUACCCUGUGUCUGAAAUGGGACCUUAUUGCCUAUAUAGUGCACUACAUUUGACCAGGCACUGCAUCUCAGUGCAAAAGGCAUCACUACAGUCCCUGGGUCGAAUCCAGGCUACAUCACAUCCGGCCAUGAUUGGGAGUCCCAUAGGGCGGCACACAAUUGUCCCAGCGUCAUCCGGGGUAGGCCGUCAUUGUAAGUAAGAAUUUGUUCUUAACUGACUUACCUAGUUAAAUAAAGGUUCAAUCAAAUUAAAUAAAUAGGGCUCUGGUCAUAAAAUAGGGCUCCAUGUUAAGAAUAGGGUCCCAUUCCGGACAACACCUCUGGGUCCCUGCCUGCCUGCUCACUGUGGUGCUAGAGCCAUAAAAAGGCACCACUAAUCUGACCAGGCUUCACUCUCUCUCUUCUCUCACUCUUCCUCUGUGAGGUUUUCCCUCUUUAUUGGAUAGUGCAGGAGCUGAACCACAAAACCAAUUUUAGUCACAUUCUCAAUGAGCCUUGACGGGGCCCAAUUUGUCUCCCCUCAGGGCAUUGGGAUCCGCUCCAGUGUCCCCCAAAGCCUCUUUUUUAGAGAAAAAGAGGGAUUUUUGGUGUUCUUUUUUUCCGUUAACAAUUGCACGUUUUGAGAUCCAGCAGUUCAUGUGACUCAAAGGAAGGCUGUGCAUUGCGUUCUGGGAAAGAUGGCAGUGACAUCAUGGGUCAGCUAUGACAUCGCACACAGAAAUGUCUGUAACAAUGUAAUUGUUCAUCGAGUGCCUUUAACGAAGCUUCCAAAUGAUUCCAAUAUCUACAGGAUAGAAAAAAAGCACACGGAAAAGCUAUCUUAUAUAAGGGAACCGUACAUUUUUGAAGGAGUUGUGCUAAACUAGUACAAAUGUACAACCUACUCUAAGGUGCUACAGUGAAAGCUGUCUUGGGCAUGUGCCUGCUUUGUGUCCGUUGGUCUGUGACGCACUGGCUAUUGUCGAUCAACAUUCAUUUACUACAGUGGCUCAUCCCAUUGGGUUGUGCUUUUCACAACCAACACACAGGCAAUGCAAUCUGAGAAAAUAUAACCAUUCGACAAUCUGUUGUCCCGUAAAACAUUCGACCCACAUGUCUUCCAUCCAGUGACAAGUCAAUGAUCAAAUCUACUGCACCAAUCUACCAACACCAGAGCUACUCAGCUGCCCACUGUCCCCAAACACCUCUCUCUUUCCUCUUUUCACUCACCCUGUCACUUCCCCUCAUCUUCUGCUUUCACUUUCCGAGUACAGAAAACUUUGAGAUCACAGGAUAUAUGCGCAAAGUCACCCACUUUACAAUUCCAACAGACAAACAAACCCAAAACGUCUGUGCCGUUUUCACACCAGUGACAACAACCUGUGUACAUUUCUGCACGUCUCUCCGGGUAAUAACAUUGAUUUUUGCUGCGUGGUUUUUUCGUGAGCAGGCGAGCUGCUACAGUAGGAGGUGUCCAGAUCUUAAGCUAGACCGUUGGUCGGGGUCGACGUUUGCUCCUCAACCUCCAUGGUGUUCAAACUGUACCUGAAACGAUGUGCUCUACAUCAUAGACCACUCUUACAGCUGCUACUUUAAGAGACAGACUAAAGAAGAAACCAUUGAUUAACCGUAGGAAUCUGACCGCACUCACCUUUGAUCACAAAACGCGCUACACAUAUUGUCACCGUCUAAGAUUCAAUAGCAAUGACAUACAAGGAAAAUUAGGUGACAAAUAGAAAUGACCAAAAAAAAGCACACAACAGAACUGUAUACGCUCCAAAUUGCUACCAGAGAUUCAAGAAAGACAAAACAUUGAAGUGAGGAGAGGUUUCCCUCAAUGGGGUAAGAGCGAUAUCGAUGAGGUCAUCACUGAAAUGGCAGUAUCAAGACUGACUGAACUCCUCUUUUAUUCUACGCUAGUUGUAGCACAAUGGCCGGGCAAGAUGCCUGCUAAACAUGUACAGUGAUUCUCACUGCGUUUUAGGGAGCUGCAGUUAAAGAUCUAGCUCGCUAGUCUAUGUGUCAGAACAAACCAGCCAGAGAGGGUCAUUGGCUCUACUACAUUCGCUGACACACACACAUACUCACUAUUGCCAGACAUUUCUGAGUAUUACACACACACACACACACACACACACACACAGUGUUUCAGUCAGUGUGUUAGUCUUCUCAUUAUCUCUUCAUCAGAGUACGGUUAUCACUCUGCUCUUCAUUGCUUACCAUCAGUUACUUAGGCUCCAUGGGGCCAACUUCCACGUGAGUAAAAUGUUCACGUUCUCUCCCAUUGACAUCAAUGCAUCACUAACCUAAACAUAGACUUUAGUGGAAGUUAGGAUUCGCCCCGAUGUCUUUGGUAUCUCCAGAGCAGCCGUGUUCCGUUUCAGUCUACUGUCUCUAUCCAGGCUGGGCCACCGAGCUGCUUCAGUUCACUGCCCUUUUAACGCCGUCCAUACCUCCAAUCCGUCCCAUGUUGUGUCUGUCUCACUGCCUCCGUCCAGAUAUCAAGCCAGUCGGUUAUAUCUAGCUACCAUAUUUCUAUCAAGUCCUUAGGAGCGUAUUCACCACAAUGGCAUUCCAAGUUGAUCAAUGUCAUACCCCAUUGUCAUAGGUUUCUUGUGAUUUCCCACAUUGUGACUAGACAGUGGUUUAGAGAAGACUGGCCCUGUGUCCAAAAUGGACCCUAUGUCUAUAUAGGGGAUACUGUGUCCUAUAUUGGCACCCUAUUCUCCAUACAUCGCACAACUGGACUGUAUUAUGACAGACGGUGCCUCAGAGUUGGGACUCCCGCAGUGUGACAGGAGAGCUCCGGGCUCGAUAUAACUCAACACUCUUUCAGCUCUUACCACCACGUAAUUCAGUGGGGAAAUUGCAAAAAAAAAAAAAUAUGUGUCCCAUGCUUUUUAAUUGAUGCUCUGGUUCACCUUUGACGGGAGGCAUCGAUUGGCCACACAUCCCCAGGAGCUCAGCCAACUGGCUAACCUAACACACACCUUCCUCGGAAUGAAAUAGCUCCCAGAGACGUCAAACACUAUUGAGUAACUAUCAUUAGAAAUGGCCAACCAAAUUUGCUGAAGAAACCUCCAGAACUUUCAUUAAGAGUCAGGAUUAUUAUACAAUAAAAAAAAAGAGGAAUAUUUAUUAGGACAGCAAAGCGGUUCUUAGAUAUUUUUUUGUUUAGUUCUGUUCUUUGUUGUUUUUCUAUUUUUCUUUGGGUCUUUUCUUUGGGUCAGCGCAGAGGAGGAUGUGGUCAUGCCUUAUGCACGCCACUCAGUGUGUGCGAUCCUUGAUAAAUAUCUGUACAUCUGUGGAUGUUAGGAUUAAACUUCGGUUUUAAUGAGUUGUUUUUUUCUCUGAAGCUUUCAAUAAAAAAAAUGUGGAAAAAAUA